UACGAAGGGGACUAGCGUUGUUCGGAAUUACUGGGCGUAAAGCGCGCGUAGGCGGAUCGCUAAGUCAGGGGUGAAAUCCCAGGGCUCAACCCUGGAACUGCCUUUGAUACUGGUAGUCUCGAGUCCGGAAGAGGUGAGUGGAAUUCCGAGUGUAGAGGUGAAAUUCGUAGAUAUUCGGAGGAACACCAGUGGCGAAGGCGGCUCACUGGUCCGGUACUGACGCUGAGGUGCGAAAGCGUGGGGAGCAAACAGG
rnacentral:rRNA from 1 species